AGAGUUUGAUUCUGGCUCAGAACGAACGCUGGCAGCGUGGAUUAGGCAUGCAAGUCGAACGGUCGCGGGACGGUAGCAAUACUGUUCCGCGAUAGUGGCGGAAGGGCGAGGAACGCAUGGGCAAUCUGUCCCGAGGGUGGGGAUAACUCCGUGAAAACGGAGCUAAUACCGAAUGUGGCGAGCGCGGCGCAUGCCGCGUGCGCUAAAGGCGGGGACCGCAAGGCCUGCCCCCUGGGGAGGAGCCCGUGUGCCAUCAGCUUGUUGGCGGGGUAACGGCCCACCAAGGCUUACGGCUAGCUGGUCUGAGAGGACGACCAGCCGCACUGGGACUGAGAUACUGCCCAGACUCCUACGGGAGGCUGCAGUCGAGGAUCAUUCGCAAUGGGCGGAAGCCUGACGAUGCGACGCUGCGUGGAGGAUGACGGCCUUCGGGUUGUAAACUCCUGUCAUGAGGGAAGAGGAGAGCCUUAUUAAUACCAAGGUGAUUUGACGGUACCUCAAGAGGAAGCCACGGCUAACUCUGUGCCAGCAGCCGCGGUAAUACAGAGGUGGCGAGCGUUGUUCGGAUUUACUGGGCGUAAAGGGCGCGUAGGCGGCCGUGUGUGUGGGGUGUGAAAUCUCCGGGCUCAACCCGGAAAGUGCGCCCCAAACUGCACGGCUCGAGUGCGGGAGGGGAGAUCGGAAUGCAUGGUGUAGCGGUGAAAUGCGUUGAUAUCAUGCAGAACACCGGUGGCGAAGGCGGAUCUCUGGAACGCAACUGACGCUGAGGCGCGAAAGUCGGGGGAGCAAACAGGAUUAGAUACCCUGGUAGUCCCGACCUUAAACGGUGCACACUUGGGGUGGGGGGAUUUCACCCCCCCCGUCCCGGAGCUAACGCGUUAAGUGUGCCGCCUGGGGAGUACGGCCGCAAGGUUAAAACUCAAAGAAAUUGACGGGGGCCCGCACAAGCAGAGGAGCAUGUGGCUUAAUUCGAUGCAACGCGAAGAACCUUACCCGGGUUUGACAUGCAGCUGCACGUCCCAUGAAAGUGGGAUUCCUUCGAGGGUGCUGCACAGGUGCUGCAUGGCUGUCGUCAGUUCGUGCCGUGAGGUGUUUGGUUAAGUCCAGCAACGAACGCAACCCCUGUGUCCAGUUGCCAGCGCGUAAUGGCGGGAACUCUGGACAGACUGCCCGUUCACACGGGAGGAAGGUGGGG
rnacentral:rRNA from 1 species